GACGAACGCUGGCGGCGCGCUUAACACAUGCAAGUCGAGCGAGAACCGGGGCUUCGGCCCCGGGGACAGCGGCGAACGGGUGAGUAACACGUGGGCAACCUGCCCUCGGCACCGGAAUAGCCCGGGGAAACCCGGAUUAAUGCCGGAUGGCCCCUCAGCCCUGCGGGGCGGUGGGAAAAGGUAGCUUUGGCCUCCGGCCGAGGAUGGGCCCGCGGCGGAUUAGCUUGUUGGUGGGGUAACGGCCUACCAAGGCUCCGAUCCGUAGCUGGUCUGAGAGGACGAUCGGCCACACUGGGACUGAGACACGGGCCAGACUCCUACGGGAGGCAGCAGUGGGGAAUCUUGCGCAAUGGGCGAAAGCCUGACGGGGCGACGCCGCGUGGGGGAGGAAGGCCUUCGGGUUGUAAACCCCUGUUGUCGGGGAAGAAGGGCUGCGUGAGCGGCAUUGACGGUACCCGACGAGGAAGCCCCGGCUAACUACGUGCCAGCCGCCGCAGUAA
rnacentral:rRNA from 1 species